UGGCUGCAGUGGGGAAUAUUGCACAAUGGGCGAAAGCCUGAUGCAGCCAUGCCGCGUGUGUGAAGAAGGCCUUAGGGUUGUAAAGCACUUUCAGCAGUGAGGAAAGGUUGUAACUUAAUACGUUGCAGCUAUGACGUUAACUGCAGAAGAAGGACCGGCUAACUCCGUGCCAGCAGCCGCGGUAAUACGGAGGGUCCGAGCGUUAAUCGGAAUUACUGGGCGUAAAGCGCGCGUAGGCGGUUUGUUAAGUCAGAUGUGAAAGCCCUGGGCUCAACCUAGGAACUGCACCUGAUACUGGCAAACUAGAGUACAGAAGAGGGUGGUGGAAUUUCCUGUGUAGCGGUGAAAUGCGUAGAUAUAGGAAGGAACAUCAGUGGCGAAGGCGACCACCUGGUCUGAUACUGACGCUGAGGUGCGAAAGCGUGGGGAGCAAACAGGAUUAGAUACCCCGGUAGUC
rnacentral:rRNA from 1 species